AUGCAUGUCUCAGUGCAUGCCGUAUUAAGGUGAAACCGCGAAUGGCUCAUUAAAUCAGUUAUGGUUCCUUAGAUCGUACCCACAUUUACUUGGAUAACUGUGGUAAUUCUAGAGCUAAUACAUGCAAACCAGAGUUCCGACCAGAGAUGGAAGGAACGCUUUUAUUAGAUCAAAACCAAUCGGUGGCGGGUUCGCUCGUCCACCGUUUACCUUGGUGACUCUGAAUAACUUUGUGCUGAUCGCACGGUCUCGUACCGGCGACGCAUCUUUCAAAUGUCUGCCUUAUCAACUGUCGAUGGUAGGUUCCGCGCCUACCAUGGUUGUAACGGGUAACGGGGAAUCAGGGUUCGAUUCCGGAGAGGGAGCCUGACAAACGGCUACCACAUCCAAGGAAGGCAGCAGGCGCGCAAAUUACCCACUCCCGGCACGGGGAGGUAGUGACGAAAAAUAACGAUACGGGACUCAUCCGAGGCCCCGUAAUCGGAA
rnacentral:rRNA from 1 species